GGGUUUGUUGAAAGGAGAGAUUGGCAUCUCUCUUGACAAGGAUGGCAACGACCUUUGCCCUUUGGGCUUCAUGUUACACAUAUGGUUAAGGCUACCUGCUUCUACAAAUCUUACCCACAAUUUUC